UACGGGGGGUGCAAGCGUUGUCCGGAAUGAUUGGGCGUAAAGCAUCUGUAGGCGGUUCUUAAAGUCGACUGUUAAAGCCCAGGGCUCAACUUUGGAUAAGCGGUCGAGUACUUAAGGACUUGAGUAUGGUAGGGGUAGAGGGAAUUCCGAGUGGAGCGGUGAAAUGCACAGAGAUUAGGAAGAACACCGAGGGCGAGAGCACUCUACUGGGCCAUGACUGACACUGAGAGAUGAAAGUUGGGAGGGCGAAAAGG
rnacentral:rRNA from 1 species